UGAAGCAAGUGCCAGGUUUAACUUAGGUCCAGUGGACUUCAGGGUCUAAUUAAAGGGGCUUAAUUCAAUCUCUAGUGAAAUCAACAGAACUGUGCUUAAAAGUAACUUUGGAAGAAAAUAUUUUCUUUCUAAAGAAAAAUUCUGUGUGAAAUAUGGGAAGACUGUAGCAUGCCAGAGAAAAGCACUCUGGAAGGCUGUGAAAUUUUGGAAGGAGGCCCUGUAUUUGAGAGAGCCAGAUAAACUAUGAGCUGGGUUUUGAAAGAAUUGCACAGGGACAAACAACUGCAAGGGGAUCCAGGUGGUCCUCACAAGUUCUCUUGCCAGCUCUAAUCUCCAUUGCAAAAAUGGAGUCCCAGGUGCAGAAAAGUUCUACACCUAAUUUAAAGCCUCUAAGUCUAAGAUUCAGGCCUGUUAGGUAAUCCAGCAUAGUCCAAAAAUGCUCAUCUUCCACUGACAAGAGGGAAAGCCUGAGCCUUUAUUGAGACUUUUAUUAUUAAGAAGACAAUUAUUUUCCAUGCAAUUUAUGCUACUGUUAGUCCAAAUUUUUAAAACUUGAACUGACUGCAAGUCAGUUUUGACAACUCUAGUGCUAGAGGUGAAAUGAAUGCAGUUCCUUUUAUUGAAGCUUAAUCCACAUUAAGGGUACAAUUAAGAUAAUGUGCUGAUUGAAGAGGAAACAAGGAGAAGAAAGAGACACCUUUUAAGCACCUUCAUAAGGAAGCAUCUUUUUAAAUAACCAUUAGCAAAGUAUUUAUGAAACUCCCCCAGUCUGAGUCCUAAAGUGUUUAUGUAGCAGGCAGAUUAUGGAAGUAGCUUGGUCUCAGUAGUUCUGAAACAUACAGAAAGUGGCUGGAUUUUAACUACUCUCUGUUGGGUUAUGUGAGAUCAUUUGUACAUUUGUACUUGGAUGGCUCUGGCCAAAAGUAGCUCGGAAACUUCUUCAAAUUAGUGCCUUGAAAAUUUGUUGAGAAUCUAGAGUCUUGACCUGAGGAGACCAUGUGGUGCCACAUCACUAAUUAAGAGAAAAGAAACUAAAUUCAAAGUAAGAGUAGGUACAGUCCACUCACUUUAAUUUUUUGCAGGUUUUUCUUUUAGUUAAGUUGCACAAUGAGAAGUAAAGAUUGUACAGUAAAUCACUAGUGCAACAGGCACUGGCAUUCAGACACAAGGAAAACAAAUCCCUUCCUUUUAAUUCAAAUCCAUCUGGCUUCCCAUGAUUUCCUGUUCUCCAGCACAGUUCAGUUCCUAGGAAGACUUGCACAAUACAAAUAUACUGUUGCCUGUGCUAACAAAAUAAUUGACCUGCCAUGAAAAAGCUGGCAUAAAUAUUAUCUCCUCCUGGUAACUACUAAUAGCUAAAUUGCAUGUGGUAAUCUUUUUUGCUAUUAAUGUAAUUUUAAACAGACAUAAUGUUUACAAACAUAAACAGAACAAACAGUGUCAUGCCCUAUUCCAUGCAGGAUGUACAAUAAAUGACACAUUUACUGUAAAACAACUAUAUCAGCACCACCACAGUUAAAGAGCAUAUCUCACAGUCACAGCCAUCUAAAUUUGCUGGUCAGAUAUGAUUCUCUGGGAAAUUAAGGGCUGAGGAGGGAAAGAGCAUAACCAAACAAUUCUUUCUAAUGUUAUUGGACUGGGGGAGAGGGGAGCAACCACCUUUCCACUGAACUCAGUUUCUGCUUUAUGAAUCAAUUCAUGUUUUCUACUCUAUAUAGUUCAAUACAAAGAGGUCUGAGGAAGAUGAACAAGUCAAUGUUCAAAAUCUGGUUCAGUUUUACUAAUUUUACUGAAAUUAAUAUACUCAUAUGAUCAAUUUGGAGCUCAGACUAGCAAACACUAGUCCUGCUUUGGAAAUACUCCAGUUUGUGACCUUUGGCUCAGCCACUUUAGGAAAUGGAGCUGAUAACCCAGGAGUAAGUCCAGGAAAAUAAAUUAAGCAUCUGGAAACUGCAUAGGAGUGUGGUUAGGAGACAGAAUAAGAAUUUAACAGUGAAAAAAUAAAAUCCAGAAAUAUUUCUGGAGCAAUAACUAAAUCACAGGAUUUCUCAGGCACAGGGAGCAGCUGAAGCAGCAGCUUGCAGACCUCCCCCUCUCUCUUCUGCUCAGCCAGAGAUACCCCAGGGACGCCCCACUGUUGCACAGCCUUCACAGGCCACAGGCCAUUCCCCUCUGCCACAGAAACCUGUGGUGUGCAGGACCUUCACCUCUGAGGGACACAGCAAGGACUGAAACCAAAUCCACUCCUGGCACUGGGUCUGUUUGGCUGCUGAGGGAAGGAAAAUCUUGGCAAAUACAACUACUACAUCAGGACUGUCAUGUUGGAUUGUGAAAUGCUGUGAAAGGCCAAGCCCAUCCAUACACCUAAGACAACCAUUUCCCAAGACCAAAAGGAUGAAAAGCAGAACUUCUCAAGAACUAACUACUUCCAUAAAUCUCUGCUUAAGAAGGGGAUGUUUUGCUAUGGAUCAUAGAGGCAGCAGAAGCAGAACUGGGUCACACACGUACACAACAGGUGCUCUCCCUCCUACGAUGAGGCAAGAGUACAAAGAUUUACUCACUGUGUGGCCCAUCACAUAACAGUCAGUUCUACCUGUGAAAUGCCUGUGUAGCUCUGACAGUAACAGAAACAGGGUAUCAGUACUGACAGAAAAUUCAGGAGUACAAGAAAGCCAGAAGUGCUUCUUCACCAAUUCUUGCACAGACAGAAAGUGCAUGACCUAAUUCAGGAGAAUCAGUUUGCAGAUCAGAAUAUUAGUCUUCCAUUUGCCUUUUCACCAAUAAUAAAAUUGAAUGUGGUGGCUCUUAUAUUUCAGGAACUUGCCAUUGCUCAGAUGCUUAGAGGCUCUGUUCUGACUUUUAGUGCUUGAUAUUAGUAACAAUGAGAUUUCUUUUCAGGAUUUUGCUCUUUCCUUUGUUUUAUUUUGACAAUCCCAAAGGACAUAGCUAAAAGCCAUAGUCAUAUCUGGGUCAAGAUUUUCACAUCUGAUUAUUGAAUCUCUUGGGAAAAUUAUUUGCCUGGAAUCAGAGAGAAAUUAAUGUAUUAAUUUCCAUUAACAUAGUAUAAUUCUAAUAGCUGGAUUUUUGGUCAAUACCUAGCUACAGCUCUUGUGGAAAGGGGCUCAGUUGCUCUCCAUGAACAAAUAGGGCUUUGCAGAGAACUUUCUACAGAGGCAACACAGGGGAAUCAUGUCACAACCUCAUUCUCUCUUCUCCACCAUUUGCCUUCUCUUCAAACCCAUGACACUUAAGGAGUACUGGCACUCACAGACAAUCUGGGGGAUGGGAGCCCUCUUAAAAAACCUCUGCUGGCUUCAGAAGCCUUGUAAAACUCCAACAUGGCAACCAAGCUGCAAGUAAGCAAGGAAGAGAUAGGAAAAAGUGACAAGUGUGGCUAUCCUGACUCUUUCACGCUCAAAAAGCUGGAAAAUACAGUGGUAGGGGAAGGCGAUCACGCCCUUACCCGUAAGUAAAAGUGGAGGAUUUCCCCCUUUUUCCCAAGGUAAAAUCUAUAAGGAAACUAUUGUGGCAUUUCCCUGUGUGCCUCCUCCUGUGUGAUUUCCAUAACUGCUGUUACAGAAGUUGUGGAAUCUGCCCUGUCCCUUCCAGUGGGAAGGAGCAAGCACAGACUUGCUGCAGCUGGAUGACAGCAAAGGACAGAGGUAGGCAGACUUUAUCACCCUGUGUUGUUAUUGGCAGGAGUAAGAAGUUCUGUAGUACAGGAGGAGCUGGUUCUGAGCCAACCUACUCAGGCUCUCAGCAGGCAUUAGUCAUUGUGAUAAUGGUCUAAAUGCAGCCACCCAGUUACUGCUUGGCAAGCUUGAAUCUCUGCCAUGUGCUGAUAGAAGGAGUGCCAGGCACCCGUGUCAGCUGAAAGAUACGCUGCCAGUGGCUGGGGGAAACAGAGGAGGUGGGUGUGGUGUGAGCACACAAAGACACGUGUUGGGCCAAUGAAUAUACUCAGGUAAGUGAGAACCAAAGCAGACACUGCUGGACUGUUUGAAAGUAAUGAUGGAAACAGUUACCAUUGGGAAAGUGGUGCCUGUUCACUCUUUAUGUGAUGUUGCUAUGUGAAAUUUCCAUGAUUUUCCUUAAAAUGGUGAUUUCUUACACUUUGAAGUCCUUACUUGGUAGAGCAAAUGCAUUUACUCAUGGAAAAUGAAAAAGGAUCUCAUUUUAUCCAAGGAGCUGUAUGGUAAUUCCUUUAACCGUUCACACAUGGCAGAUCCUACCCCUCUUUCUAGCUGUAGCAGAUAAUUCUUUCCACUUCCCACAUAAACACUGAAGUGCCCUCAGUCUGUUCCUGUCACUGAGUGGUUGAUCCUCCAAGCUGAAACUGGUAAGCAGGUUAAAAAAAGCUCUGAAAAACCAGACUCAUCCAUACUGUUUAUGUUGUCCCCACCCUUCACCUUACUUUUACUUUUAAAAGUGUUAAAGGUAACCUGAAGGACUUAGACCAAGCAGCUGGGACCCUUGACAGCCAGUAUAACCUUUCUUGGAGUUGCUCUAAAUGAAAACUGCUCAAGUCUCGUCACCUGACUGCUGAACCUUCUCCCCUGCUCCAGAUGCAAACCAGAAGUGGGAAAAUACAUUGUAAGAGAACCUGGGGUACAUCUUCCUGCUGUGUUCAAGAUAUAGGCAAAGUAUGAGUACAGUCCAAAGCUGAUCAAAGUUGACAUAGCUGGGAGAAAGGAGGUGGCAGUUCAUACAGCUCUGGAUAGCUAUAGGAGGAGGCAUCUGGAAAUUAGCUUUACAGAGCUCAUGAAGAUUUUGAAAGCACCGAGCCAUAAAUCAUCAUAUGCACAUACUGACCUGAUUUUCUUGUGCAUACUUCAUGCUAUUUGUGCUUCAGAUUUCUGAAGUUUAAUAUGGGGCAGAGAACAAGGGGUUCAGGUUCUAACAAGGACUGCUGUUUGACUCAAACCUGAUUAAAGCCUAACUAUCAACUUAAUGUUUAGCAUUUCAUUUCAAGUUUGUUUCCAAAAACACAGAAACAAUUAUCUAAAUUUACAAGGAAAUUUUGGCUAUAUCCAAACUACAAUGUUUUUUCAGGCUGGAAUCCUGUCUAAACUGGAGAAUAGGUUUGAGCCAUUUGUUCCUUGCACAUUUUUUGAAGUAACAACAGAAAAAUCAGCUUUGAAUAUCUAUGGUGAUAUGUAACUGAAAAUCCAAGAUAAGCUUCCAUGUAAUACGGAGGGGUCAGAUAUGUCAAACUGAAUAACUUACAUAUAAACUCAGGCUGUUUAAGUGCUGUCACCGACAUAGUUUAUGAAAAAUACUUUACUUAGGAAUUUUCCUCUCCUGAGAGCUGAGAAGCCUCAGGAACGGACUGUAAACAAUUCUUAUCUGCUGCUGUAGAAUGCAACGGGGAGAAAUCUGUGAUUAGCCCCGUCAGACUGUUUGCAAUUAAGAGCCUAUCACAAUUCACCUGUUCGGCCCGUCUCGGGCUGAGAAGACUUCAGUUUAGACAUUCUUUUCUAUUCUUAAUAUAGCCUUGGUAGUGAAAUCUCUAGCUUUAUUCUUUUAGUAUAGUUUUUAUAUCUUAUAUAUCAUAUCAUAAUAAAUCAAGCCUUCUGAUGCAUG